rnacentral:rRNA from 1 species
UACGGGGGGGGCAAGCGUUGUUCGGAAUUACUGGGCGUAAAGGGCGCGUAGGCGGCUCGUUAAGUCGGGUGUGAAAACUCUGGGCUCAACCCAGAGCCUGCAUUCGAAACUGACGAGCUAGAGUUCUGGAGGGGAAAGCGGAAUUCCUGGUGUAGCGGUGAAAUGCGUAGAUAUCAGGAGGAACACCUGUGGUGUAGACAGCUUACUGGACCAUUUCUGACGCUGAGACACGAAAGCGUGGGUAGCAAACAGG